rnacentral:lncRNA from 1 species
CGGGUCCCCUUCCACACUGUGGAAGAUUUAAUCGUUUGCUCUUUGCAAUAAAUCUUGCUACUGCUUUCUCUUUGGGUCCACACUGCUUUUAUGAGCUGUAACACUCACCGCAAAGAUCUGCAGCCUCACUCCUGAAGCCAGCCAGACCACAAGCCCAACGGAGGAAGGAAGAACUCCAGAUGCGCUGCCUUAAGUGCAGUAAUACUCACCGCGAAGGUCUGCAGCUUCACUCCUGAGCCAGCGAGACCACGAACCCACCAGAAGGAAAAAACUCUGAACACAUCUGAACAUCAGAAGGAACAAACUCCAGACGCGCCACCUUAAGAGUUGUAACACUCACCGCGAGGGUCCGUGGCUUCAUUCUUGAAGUCAGUGAAACCAAGAACCCACCAAUUCCGGACACAAAGUGAUUAGGAUUAUGACUAAUUUUUUAUAAUGUCUUCUUUUUACUUAUUUUUCCAUCAAAAAAAUUCUAAAAGUAAAGAAAAGCAAGAAUUAUUUCUGAGACUGUGACUAUUCCUAACUCUUCUUUUCCAUCUUAUCAAAUCAUAGCAGUUGUUUUCUUUUAAUGAAAACUCUUGCUACAACAUACUACUAAAACAGAUAAGGGAGACAGGGUAACAUAUUUCUAAAGACAGAAAUAGCGAGCCAGACUUUAAUGACCAAAGGAAUGGUACAAAUAGGCCAGAUAAAUUUUCUAUCCAUGAAAAUGUUAACUGCGAUUUACAUGACUACUAUGCUGACAACUUCUAGUUGCAGGAAACUAGGUAUAAUUAUAAGAAAUUUUGACAACGUACAGAAGUUUUCUUCACAAAAUGGGUGAGUGUUGUGUAGAAAUAUCUCACCUUGCUUAAAAAUCUUCCACUGGUGUAGAGGGUCAGCUGUUCAUUGUAUGAGCGUUCAGAUGAGGGAUAGGUAACAUGAAAACACACUUUGUCAUGAUUUUAGAUCAUCACAUGUAUCUCAAGCUGGGUGAGUGUAUUUCACUGUGUCUUCCCUAGAACAAGCCACCACUUUGUUAUAUUGCUGCAUGGUCUGUAGUCCUCAUUGCUUGUAAAAGUGACUAACAUGCAGUUGUUCAUUCUAGUUCCUGCUCAUUACAAGCUAUGGAGCAUUACAUUCUGGAAACUUCUGGUUUGGUUAGUCCCCACUCUGACGCUU